rfam:Ciona savignyi cont_46376, whole genome shotgun sequence.
GGCCGGUUAGCUCAGUUGGUUAGAGCGUCGUGCUAAUAACGCGAAUGUCGCGGGUUCGAUCCCCGUUCUGGCCA